rnacentral:rRNA from 1 species
CACGUAGGGCGCAAGCGUUGUCCGGAAUUAUUGGGCGUAAAGAGCUCGUAGGCGGUCUGUUGCGUCCGCUGUGAAAACCCGGGGCUUAACCCCUGGCUUGCAGUGGAUACGGACAGACUAGAGGUAGGUAGGGGAGAAUGGAAUUCCGGUGUAGCGGUGAAAUGCGCAGAUAUCGGGAGGAACACCGGUGGCGAAGGCGGUUCUCUGGGCCUUACCUGACGCUGAGGAGCGAAAGCGUGGGGAGCGAACAGG